UACGUAGGGGGCAAGCGUUGUCCGGAUUUAUUGGGCGUAAAGCGCGCGUAGGCGGCAAGGUAUGUCGUGCGUGAAAUCUCCCGGCUUAACUGGGAGGGCCGUGCGAAACUGCCUGGCUUGAGGUCGGAAGGGGAAAGUGGAAUUCCGGGUGUAGUGGUGGAAUACGUAGAUAUCCGGAGGAACACCAGCGGCGAAGGCGGACUUCUGGUCCGAGUUCUGACGCUGAGGCGCG
rnacentral:rRNA from 1 species